AUUGAACGCUGGCGGCGCGCUUAACACAUGCAAGUCGAUCGGUAACGCGGGGGCAACCCUGGCGACGAGAGGCGGACGGGUGAGGAACGCUUGGGAAUCUGCCUAUCAGCGGGGGACAACACGGGGAAACUCGUGCUAAUACCGCAUACGCUCUACGGAGGACAGCCGGGGACCGCAAGGCCUGGCACUGAUAGAUGAGCCCAAGCCGGAUUAGCUAGUUGGCGGGGUAACGGCCCACCAAGGCGACGAUCCGUAGCUGGGCUGAGAGGACGAUCAGCCACACUGGGACUGAGACACGGUCCGGACUCCUACGGGAGGCAGCAGUGGGUAAUAUUGGACAAUGGGCGCAAGCCUGAUCCAGCAAUGCCGCGUGUGUGAAGAAGGCCUUCGGGUUGUAAAGCACUUUAGCCUGGAAAGAAAAAACUUUGGUUAACACCCAAAGUCUUGACGGUACCAGGAGAAUAAGCACCGGCUAACUCUGUGCCAGCCGCCGCCGUAACAC
rnacentral:rRNA from 1 species